rnacentral:rRNA from 1 species
UACGGGGGGAGCAAGCGUUGUUCGGAUUUACUGGGCGUAAAGGGCGCGUAGGCGGCCACCGCAAGUCGACUGUGAAAUCUCCGGGCUUAACCCGGAAAGGUCAGCCGAUACUGCGGGGCUAGAGUGCAGAAGGGGGCAACUGGAAUUCUCGGUGUAGCGGUGAAAUGCGUAGAUAUCGAGAGGAACACCUGCGGCGAAGGCGGGUUGCUGGGCUGGUACUGACGCUGAUGCGCGAAAGCGUGGGGGAGCAAAACAGG